UACGGAGGAUGCGAGCGUUAUCCGGAUUUAUUGGGUUUAAAGGGUGCGCAGGCGGCACGGCAAGCCGGCGGUCAAAUCGCGGGGCUCAACCCCGCCCAGCCGUCGGAACUGCCGGGCUAGAGUGGGCGAGAAGUGCGCGGAAUGCGUGGUGUAGCGGUGAAAUGCAUAGAUAUCACGCAGAACUCCGAUUGCGAAGGCAGAGCACCGGCGCCCUACUGACGCUCAGGCACGAAAGCGUGGGUAUCGAACAGG
rnacentral:rRNA from 1 species